rnacentral:rRNA from 1 species
UGGGGAAUAUUGGACAAUGGGCGAAAGCCUGAUCCAGCGAUGCCGCGUGAGUGAUGAAGGCCUUCGGGUUGUAAAGCUCUGUGGGUGGGGACGAAAAAGUCGAGUUCAAAUAGGGCUCGACCUUGACGGUACCCACUUAGCAAGCACCGGCUAACUCUGUGCCAGCAGCCGCGGUAAGACAGAGGGUGCAAACGUUGCUCGGAAUUACUGGGCGUAAAGCGCGUGUAGGCGGACAUGCAAGUCGGGUGUGAAAUCCCUGGGCUCAACCCAGGAACUGCAUUCGAAACUGCAUGUCUUGAGUACUGGAGAGGAGAGCGGAAUUCCCGGUGUAGAGGUGAAAUUCGUAGAUAUCGGGAGGAACAUCAGUGGCGAAGGCGGCUCUCUGGACAGUAACUGACGCUGAGACGCGAAAGCGUGGGUAGCGAACAGGAUUAGAUACCCCCGUAGUCC